UGUUGAAACAGCGGCUAACUGCUGCUAAUGCUGAGAUAUUUGAGUUGGUAGAAACAAACAGAUCGCAGAGCAGCAAGAAGAAACGAGUGGAUUUAAAGAAGAGAAGAAACUAGUCAACGUGCUGGAAGCUGUUUUCAAGUCUGAAGUUCUCUGAUCCAGAGCAGUCUUUCUCCAAACA